rfam:Naegleria gruberi genomic scaffold NAEGRscaffold_51, whole genome shotgun sequence.
UCCCGUGUGGUCCAAUGGCUAAGAUACCUGGCUCUCACCCAGGAGAUCCGGGUUCAAUUCCCGGCACGGGAG